GAACACAAAAUGGCGACACGUGGUUAGCAUUCGUCGCCAACGAGAAAUUGGGGUCGGCCCGAAAGCUCUAGAAUGCACCCCUCUUCCUCCCCGGGGCCUUCCACCUCCGCGAGUUUUAUGACUUAAAAAAGCCCACAGGCUGGUCUGAAGGUCGGAGGCCUAAUUUUAACGCGUUUUCCUCCCUUUAAUUUGAAACGGGAACGCGAAUGACUGUAAAAUAGGAAGACAAACAUAAAGAUGAAGUGCUUAAUUCAAGGUCACACAAUGUCGGGGAUGGACCUCCAGAUUUCCUUACUGACCUGCAUUAUCUUGUGGAUACCUGAGUGAAUUCCACACCACCCAUUUUAUAGAUGAAACCACUGAGACAUGGAGCAAUUGACUGAGUAGUCACUGCCCCACCCCUGCCUGGAGCCUCACACAUGACUCGCCUCCUCUCAGUGACCACAGGUUGGUUGAGGGGUUUAACAAGGCUAAGAAGGUGAGACGUGGUCUUGUAACACAGUGGUUAAGAAUGUGACUUUGGAGCCAGCCUGCUAGGGGCUGAAUUCUGACUCAGCCAUUUACUAACUGUGUGACCUUAGGUGGAGUCUCACUCUGUAGCCCAAGCUGGAGUGGCGUGAUCUCGACUCACUGCAACCUCCGCCUCCUGGGAUCAAGUGAUUCUCGUGCCUCAGCCUCCUGAGUAGCCGGGACUACAGUUGUCCCUUGGUGUGGGAUUGCUUCCAGUACCUCUGUGUGU
rnacentral:lncRNA from 10 species